GGGCGUAAAGCGAGCGCAGACGGUUUAUUAAGUCUGAUGUGAAAUCCCGAGGCCCAACCUCGGAACUGCAUUGGAAACUGAUUUACUUGAGUGCGAUAGAGGCAAGUGGAACUCCAUGUGUAGCGGUGAAAUGCGUAGAUAUGUGGAAGAACACCAGUGGCGAAAGCGGCUUGCUAGAUCGUAACUGACGUUGAGGCUCGAAAGUAUGGGUAGCAAACGGGAUUAGAUACCCCGGUAGUCCAUACCGUAAACGAUGGGUGCUAGUUGUUAAGAGGUUUCCGCCUCCUAGUGACGUAGCAAACGCAUUAAGCACCCCGCCUGAGGAGUACGGCCGCAAGGCUAAAACUUAAAGGAAUUGACGGGGACCCGCACAAGCGGUGGAGCAUGUGGUUUAAUUCGAAGAUACGCGAAAAACCUUACCAGGUCUUGACAUACCAAUGAUCGCUUUUGUAAUGAAAGCUUUUCUUCGGAACAUUGGAUACAGGUGGUGCAUGGUCGUCGUCAGCUCGUGUCGUGAGAUGUUGGGUUAAGUCCCGCAACGAGCGCAACCCUUGUUAUUAGUUGCCAGCAUUUAGUUGGGCACUCUAAUGAGACUGCCGGUGAUAAACCGGAGGAAGGUGGGGACGACGUCAGAUCAUCAUGCCCCUUAUGACCUGGGCAACACACGUGCUACAAUGGGAAGUACAACGAGUCGCAAACCGGCGACGGUAAGCUAAUCUCUUAAAACUUCUCUCAGUUCGGACUGGAGUCUGCAACUCGACUCCACGAAGGCGGAAUCGCUAGUAAUCGCGAAUCAGCAUGUCGCGGUGAAUACGUUCCCGGGUCUUGUACACACCGCCCGUCAAAUCAUGGGAGUCGGAAGUACCCAAAGUCGCUUGGCUAACUUUUAGAGGCCGGUGCCUAAGGUAAAAUCGAUGACUGGGAUUAAGUCG
rnacentral:rRNA from 1 species